rnacentral:rRNA from 1 species
GACGAACGCUGGCGGCGUGCCUAAUACAUGCAAGUCGAGCGGAUGGAAGGAAGCUUGCUUCCUAAAGUCAGCGGCGGACGGGUGAGUAACACGUGGGCAACCUGCCCCUAAGAUCGGGAUAACUUCGGGAAACCGGAGCUAAUACCGGAUAUGAUUAUGUCUCACAUGAGACAUAAUGGAAAGACGGUUUCGGCUGUCACUUAGGGAUGGGCCCGCGGCGCAUUAGCUAGUUGGUGAGGUAACGGCUCACCAAGGCGACGAUGCGUAGCCGACCUGAGAGGGUGAUCGGCCACACUGGGACUGAGACACGGCCCAGACUCCUACGGGAGGCAGCAGUAGGGAAUCUUCCGCAAUGGACGAAAGUCUGACGGAGCAACGCCGCGUGAGUGAAGAAGGUUUUCGGAUCGUAAAACUCUGUUGUUAGGGAAGAACAAGUACCAUAGUAACUGAUGGUACCUUGACGGUACCUAACCAGAAAGCCACGGCUAACUACGUGCCAGCCGCCGCGGUAAAAC